rnacentral:tRNA from 1 species
AGCCUUGGCACACCUUCGUGUGCGUUUCUAGAUUUGCAUUAUAGC